GGACUUGGAUCGUUGUUUCAGAAAGGUUGGAUUUUUUCGUUUUCGCUCUUCUAGGAAGAAGAAGCGACCGCUCUGCUUGAUUUUUAGGUUUUCUUCCAUUUGUGUUAGUAAUACCAAAGUUGGGUUGGGUCCGACCCACCCUGGACGCAGCGCGCAUUUGUUUUAAGUGGCCCAUUCGGCCACCCAUGAGCCUAGUUUUUUUAUUUUUUUAAAUUCUCAAUUGAGUUUUGUUACUUGUAUUAG
rnacentral:lncRNA from 1 species